AAAAAUGCUGAGGUUUGUACUUAUCUCCUCUGAGCUGGCCUCUUGUAAAUUUCAAACAAAUUAUUUGCACCAUGAUUGGGUGAACCUUUGUAAACUAUACUUGUGAAUAAAGGUUCAAUAAAAUUUGCGACAUUA
rfam:Amborella trichopoda AMTR_V1.0_contig_16148, whole genome shotgun sequence.